rnacentral:rRNA from 1 species
CACGUAGGCACCAAGCGUUGUCCGGAUUUAUUGGGCGUAAAGAGCUCGUAGACGGUUCAGUAAGUCGGGUGUGAAAACUCUGGGCUUAACCCAGAGACGCCACCCGAUACUGCUGUGACUUGAGUACGGUAGGGGAGCAGGGAAUUCCUGGUGUAGCGGUGAAAUGCGCAGAUAUCAGGAGGAACACCAAUAGCGAAGGCAGCUCGCUGGGACGUUACUGACACUGAGGCGCGAAAGCGUGGGGAGCGAACAGG